AGCGAAACCUAAACCGUUGUGUCUAAGCAAAACAGUAUGUCCACAUGGAUUGAAGCGGAGCUGCCUCGUAAUUUAUGGACGACUGUCAAUUGGUUGUGUACAAACUAGAUCGCCUUGCGAGCAGUAUUGGCGGGCUUCUUGCCCCCCACCGACUACUCCUACUUGUCGGUCAACUGCCACUGAGUGUGCUUGCGGUUGUGUCAAUCUUUCGGGAGCCAUUCGUCCACAAAACGGAAACGCAUCGCCCAAUGCAAAAAGAAAGCAGACGGGCGCGCCUGGAAUCAGUGGUUAAAUGAUUGACGCUGAAGUUGUGGUCAUUAUUUGGUCACGACAGCAAGAGGACGCAUAUCUUAUUUUGUG